CACGUAGGCACCAAGCGUUGUCCGGAUUUAUUGGACGUAAAGAGCUCGUAGGCGGUUCGGUAAGUCGGGUGUGAAAACUCUGGGCUCAACCCAGAGCCGCCACCCGAUACUGCUGUGACUUGAGUUCGGUAGGGGAGCGGGGAAUUCCUGGUGUAGCGGUGAAAUGCGCAGAUAUCAGGAGGAACACCAGUGGCGAAGGCGCCGCUCUGGGCCGAGACUGACGCUGAGGAGCGAAAGCGUGGGGAGCGAACAGG
rnacentral:rRNA from 1 species